GAUGAACGCUGGCGGCGUGCCUAAUACAUGCAAGUCGAGCGAAUGGAUUAAGAGCUUGCUCUUAUGAAGUUAGCGGCGGACGGGUGAGUAACACGUGGGUAACCUGCCCAUAAGACUGGGAUAACUCCGGGAAACCGGGGCUAAUACCGGAUAACAUUUUGAACCGCAUGGUUCGAAAUUGAAAGGCGGCUUCGGCUGUCACUUAUGGAUGGACCCGCGUCGCAUUAGCUAGUUGGUGAGGUAACGGCUCACCAAGGCAACGAUGCGUUGCCGCCCUGAGAGGGUGAUCGGCCACACUGGGACUGAGACAUGGCCCAGACUCCUACGGGAGGCAGCAGUAGGGAAUCUUCCGCAAUGGACGAAAGUCUGACGGAGCAACGCCGCGUGAGUGAUGAAGGCUUUCGGGUCGUAAAACUCUGUUGUUAGGGAAGAACAAGUGCUAGUUGAAUAAGCUGGCACCUUGACGGUACCUAACCAGAAAGCCACGGCUAACCACGUGCCAGCAGCCGCCGUAA
rnacentral:rRNA from 1 species